AGGAUUCCCUCAGUAGCGGCGAGCGAACAGGGAAGAGCCCAGCACCGAAUCCCGCGGCCGGAAACGGUCGCCGGGAAAUGUGGUGUUUGGAAGGGUCCGUUAUCCCGAGAGCACGCAGCGCGUCCAAGUCCAUCUUGAACGGGGCCCUUACCCAUAGAGGGUGCCAGGCCCGUAGCGACCGCUGCCGUUUUCGGGAGGAUCUCUUCCGAGAGUCGGGUUGCUUGAGAGUGCAGCCCUAAGUGGGUGGUAAACUCCAUCUAAGGCUAAAUAUAACCACGAGACCGAUAGCGAACAAGUACCGUGAGGGAAAGUUGAAAAGAACUUUGAAGAGAGAGUUCAAUAGUACGUGAAACCGUUCAGGGGUAAACCUGAGAAACCCGAAAGGUCGAAAAGGGAGAUUCAUUCGCGUUUCGACGGUCGGAGUUUUACGGUAGUGCGACGGACGGCGUUCGCGUCGUCCGCUCCUUCCGUUCAACUGUCCGUAGUCGAACGCGUGCACUUCUCCCUUAGUAGGACGUCGCGAUCCGUUGGGUGUCGGUCUAAGGCCCGCGGUGGAGCCCGUGAGCGCGGUUUACCGUCGCUCGCGGACCCGCGGUGUUUCCCGACCGACUCGCUCGACGGUCUAAAGAAGGCGCGGGGCCGCGACAUAGUUCGCGUUCGACACGCGGCAAGUACGUCAGAAUGAUCGACGAUCGGACCCGGUGCCGAUCCCGGUCGCUGGCGGCUGUGGCUGCGGUGUUCUCGAACAGACCUCGUUGUAACGCCGAUCUGCGACGCUAUUGCUUUGGGUACUUUCAGGACCCGUCUUGAAACACGGACCAAGGAGUCUAGCAUGUGCGCGAGUCAUUGGGAUAUAACUAAACCUAAAGGCGUAAUGAAAGUAAAGGUCAGCCUAGCGCUGACCGAGGGAAGAUGGGCGAGUCGUGAAUUCGACCGCUCCGCACUCCCGGGGCGUCUCGUUCUCAUCGCGAGAAGAGGCGCACCAAGAGCGUACACGCUGGGACCCGAAAGAUGGUGAACUAUGCCUGGUCAGGACGAAGUCAGGGGAAACCCUGAUGGAGGUCCGUAGCGAUUCUGACGUGCAAAUCGAUCGUCGGAACUGGGUAUAGGGGCGAAAGACUAAUCGAACCAUCUAGUAGCUGGUUCCCUCCGAAGUUUCCCUCAGGAUAGCUGGCGCUCGUUGCGUACGAGUCUCAUCCGGUAAAGCGAAUGAUUAGAGGCAUUGGGGUCGAAACGACCUCAACCUAUUCUCAAACUUUAAAUGGGUGAGAUCUCCGGCUUGCUCGAACUUGAAGCCGCGAGAUAUCGGAUCAGAGUGCCAAGUGGGCCAUUUUUGGUAAGCAGAACUGGCGCUGUGGGAUGAACCAAACGCCGAGUUAAAGCGCCUAAAUCGACGCUUAUGGGAUACCAUGAAAGGCGUUGGUAACUUAAGACAGCAGGACGGUGGCCAUGGAAGUCGGAAUCCGCCAAGGAGUGUGUAACAACUCACCUGCCGAAGUUACUAGCCCUGAAAAUGGAUGGCGCUGAAGCGUCGUGCUUAUACUCGGCCGUCAGCGGCAUGUGCGGUCGCCUCGCGCGAUCAUGAAGCCCUGAUGAGUAGGAGGGUCGCGGCGGUGCGCGCAGAAGGGCUGGCCGUGAGGCCGUCUGGAGCCGCCGUCGGUGCAGAUCUUGGUGGUAGUAGCAAAUACUCCAGCGAGGACCUGGAGGACUGACGUGGAGAAGGGUUUCGUGUGAACAGCCGUUGCACACGAGUCAGUCGAUCCUAAGCCCUAGGCGAAAGCCGAUGUUGAUGCGGUGCCGUUUUACAGUCGUCUUCAGAGUCAUGCCGUAGCGUACCUCGUGUACCGGAGCAUACCGUUACGACGCACCCAUCGGGCGAAAGGGAAUCCGGUUCCUAUUCCGGAACCCGGCAGCGGAACCGUCUUAAAAUCGGGCCCUCGCAAGAGAGUUCGUCGGGGCAACCCAACAUGACCCGGAGACGCCGACGGGAGAUCCGGGAAGAGUUUUCUUUUCUGCAUGAGCGUUCGAGUUCCAUGGAAUCCUCUAGCAGGGAGAUAUGGUUUGGAACGCGAAGAGCACCGCAGUUGCGGCGGUGUCCGGAUCUUCCCCUCGGACCUUGAAAAUCCGGGAGAGGGCCACGUGGAGGCGUCGCGCCGGCUCGUACCCAUAUCCGCAGC
rnacentral:rRNA from 1 species